UGGGGAAUAUUGGACAAUGGGCGCAAGCCUGAUCCAGCCAUGCCGCGUGUGUGAAGAAGGCCUUUUGGUUGUAAAGCACUUUAAGCGAGGAGGAGGCUACCUGGAUUAAUACUCUAGGAUAGUGGACGUUACUCGCAGAAUAAGCACCGGCUAACUCUGUGCCAGCAGCCGCGGUAAUACAGAGGGUGCGAGCGUUAAUCGGAUUUACUGGGCGUAAAGCGUGCGUAGGCGGCUUUUUAAGUCGGAUGUGAAAUCCCUGAGCUUAACUUAGGAAUUGCAUUCGAUACUGGGAAGCUAGAGUAUGGGAGAGGAUGGUAGAAUUCCAGGUGUAGCGGUGAAAUGCGUAGAGAUCUGGAGGAAUACCGAUGGCGAAGGCAGCCAUCUGGCCUAAUACUGACGCUGAGGUACGAAAGCAUGGGGAGCAAACAGG
rnacentral:rRNA from 3 species